rnacentral:rRNA from 1 species
GACGUAGGGCGCGAGCGUUGUCCGGAUUUAUUGGGCGUAAAGAGCUCGUAGGCGGCUUGUCGCGUCGACUGUGAAAACCCGCGGCUCAACUGCGGGCCUGCAGCCGAUACGGGCAGGCUAGAGUUCGGUAGGGGAGACUGGAAUUCCUGGUGUAGCGGUGAAAUGCGCAGAUAUCUGGAGGAAUACCGGUGGCGAAGGCGGCAUCCUGGACCGACAUUGACGCUGAGGAGCGAAAGCUAGGGGAGCAAACGGG